rnacentral:rRNA from 1 species
GAUGAACGCUGGCGGCGUGCCUAAUACAUGCAAGUCGAGCGAACGGACGAGAAGCUUGCUUCUCUGAUGUUAGCGGCGGACGGGUGAGUAACACGUGGAUAACCUACCUAUAAGACUGGGAUAACUUCGGGAAACCGUAGCUAAUACCGGAUAAUAUUUUGAACCGCAUGGUUCAAAAGUGAAAGACGGUCUUGCUGUCACUUAUAGAUGGAUCUGCGCUGCAUUAGCUAGUUGGUAAGGUAACGGCUUACCAAGGCAACGAUGCAUAGCCGACCUGGGAGGGUGAUCGGCCACACUGGAACUGAGACACGGUCCAGACUCCUACGGGAGGCAGCAGUAGGGAAUCUUCCGCAAUGGGCGAAAGCCUGACGGAGCAACGCCGCGUGAGUGAUGAAGGUCUUCGGAUCGUAAAACUCUGUUAUUAGGGAAGAACAUAUGUGUAAGUAACUGUGCACAUCUUGACGGUACCUAAUCAGAAAGCCACGGCUAACUACGUG